rnacentral:rRNA from 1 species
AUUGAACGCUGGCGGCAUGCCUUACACAUGCAAGUCGAACGGCAGCACGGGAGCAAUCCUGGUGGCGAGUGGCGAACGGGUGAGUAAUAUAUCGGAACGUGCCCAGUAGUGGGGAUAACCCGGCGAAAGCCGGAUUAAUACCGGAUACGACCUGAGGGUGAAAGCGGGGGAUCGCAAGACCUCGCGCUAUUUGAGCGGCCGAUAUCAGAUUAGCUUGUUGGUGGGGUAAAAGCCUACCAAGGCGACGAUCUGUAGCUGGUCUGAGAGGACGACCAGCCACACUGGGACUGAGACACGGCCCAGACUCCUACGGGAGGCAGCAGUGGGGAAUUUUGGACAAUGGGCGCAAGCCUGAUCCAGCCAUGCCGCGUGCGGGAAGAAGGCCUUCGGGUUGUAAACCGCUUUUGUCAGGGAAGAAACGGCUCUUGAUAAUACCGAGAGCUAAUGACGGUACCUGAAGAAUAAGCACCGGCUAACUACGUGCCAGCCGCCGCAGUAA